UGGUGUGUAGCUCAAUGGCAGAGCCCCCGGCUGUUAACCGGGUGGUUGAAGGUUCGAGUCCUUCCACGCCAGC
rnacentral:tRNA from 1 species